rnacentral:rRNA from 1 species
GACGAACGCUGGCGGCGUGCUUAACACAUGCAAGUCGAACGAAGUGGCGAACGGGUGAGUAACGCGUAAUCAACCUGCCCUUCAGAGGGGGACAACAGGUGGAAACGACUGCUAAUACCGCAUACUGAAGGAGGGGAUUGCGUCUGAGUAUCUAGUUGGAGGGGUUACGGCCCACCAAAGCGAUGAUCAGUAGGCGGGCUGGGAAGGAGGACGGGCACAUUGGGAAUGGGGAACGGGCCAGGAUCCUACGGGGAGGAGGAGUGGGGGAACUUCCGCAAUGGAGGAAAAUCUGGCGGAACAAAGCCGCGUGAGAUGUGACGGCCUUCGGGUUGUAAAGCUCUGUUAAUCGGGACGCGGUACCGGAAUAGAAAGCAACGGCUAACUACGUGCCAGCAGCCGCGGUAAUAC